AGAGUUUGAUCAUGGCUCAGAUUGAACGCUGGCGGCGUGCUUAACACAUGCAAGUCGAGCGGUAACAGGCGUAGCAAUACGUGCUGACGAGCGGCGAACGGGUGCGUAAUACAUGGGAAUCUGCCUUUUAGUGGGGAAUAACCCGGCGAAAGCCGGGCUAAUGCCGCAUAAGAUCUUCGGAUGAAAGCGGGGGAUCGUAAGACCUCGCGCUGAUAGAUGAGCCCAUGCCGGAUUAGCUAGUUGGUGAGGUAACGGCUCACCAAGGCGACGAUCCGUAGCUGGUCUGAGAGGACGGCCAGCCACACUGGGACUGAGACACGGCCCAGACUCCUACGGGAGGCAGCAGUGGGGAAUAUUGGACAAUGGGGGAAACCCUGAUCCAGCGACGCCGCGUGUGUGAAGAAGGCCUGCGGGUUGUAAAGCACUUUCGGUGGGAACGAAAUAUGCCGGGCUAAUACCCCGGUAGGCUGACGUUACUCAAUGAAGAAGCACCGGCUAACUCUGUGCCAGCAGCCGCGGUAAUACAGAGGGUGCGAGCGUUAAUCGGAAUUACUGGGCGUAAAGCGCACGUAGGUGGCGACGUAAGUCGGGUGUGAAAGCCCCGGGCUCAACCUGGGAACUGCAUUC
rnacentral:rRNA from 1 species